CAUAAUGGAGAAAUUGUAUUCAUUUAUGGCAAUGGACAGCAGCCAGGGGCCAUAUUCAUCCUCUAGGAGUGGUGAUUUGGGAUCGGUUUUCCUUGGCCCAUAGCCCGGCCUUGACCAUUGAUUAGGGCAAAGAAGGCGAAAUGGGCUACAACUUGAUCCCAGAUCACCACUAGCCUACAGUCAUGAAUUUGGCCCAGGAGAUCCAGCAGAGCUAACAGGACACUGGGAUCUAUCACCAGCUCUCUGGAAUUAGCAAUAAGAAGUCGAGUUGCCACAAAACAGCACAAGAAGCCUUACAUAAUGGAGAAAUUGUAUUCAUUUAUGGCAAUGGACAGCAGCCAGGGGCCAUAUUCAUCCUCUAGGAGUGGUGAUUUGGGAUCGGUUUUCCUUGGCUCAUAGCCUGGCCUUGACCAUUGAUUAGGGCAAAGAAGGCGAAAUGGGCUACAACUUGAUCCCAGAUCACCACUAGCCUACAGUUAUGAAUUUGGCCCAGGAGAUCCAGCAGAGCUAACAGGACACUGGGAUCUAUCACCAGCUCUCUGGAAUUAGCAAUAAGAAGUCGAGUUGCCACAAAACAGCACAAGAAGCCUUACAUAAUGGAGAAAUUGUAUUCAUUUAUGGCAAUGGACAGCAGCCAGGGGCCAUAUUCAUCCUCUAGGAGUGGUGAUUUGGGAUCGGUUUUCCUUGGCUCAUAGCCUGGCCUUGACCAUUGAUUAGGGCAAAGAAGGCGAAAUGGGCUACAACUUGAUCCCAGAUCACCACUAGCCUACAGUUAUGAAUUUGGCCCAGGAGAUCCAGCAGAGCUAACAGGACACUGGGAUCUAUCACCAGCUCUUUGGAAUUAGCAAUAAGAAGUCGAGUUGCCACAAAACAGCACAAGAAGCCUUACAUAAUGGAGAAAUUGUAUUCAUUUAUGGCAAUGUACAACAGCCAGGGGCCAUAUUCAUCCUCUAGGAGUGGUGAUUUGGGAUCGGUUUUCCUUGGCUCAUACCCUGUCCUUGACCAUUGAUUAGGGCAAAGAAGGCGAAAUGGGCUACAACUUGAUCCCAGAUCACCACUAGCCUACAGUUAUGAAUUUGGCCCAGGAGAUCCAGCAGAGCUACCAGGACACUGGGAUACACGAGCAGCUCUCUCUCUCUGAACUCAUUGAUGAGCAACAAGAAUUCAAGUAGUCACAAAACAGCUCAAGAAGCAUUACAUGAUGGAGAAUAUGGAGACACUCAUGCCCACCCACAUCUCUGUGUCAAUCCCUCCCAAACCUCUGUGACAGGAUGCAUGGCAUUACCACUCCGCCACGUGGGACGCUGUCGGACUACGCCUCUCUGGACUUCCUCCAGUUCCUUGUCAUCGCUAAGAUCUCUAAGGCAUUGGGGAUCUGUGGCAUAGUGUGACCACUUGAUUGCAUCUCUGCAGGCAGCAGCCGUUCUAUGUUACCUGUCAGCCUAUCUUUACAAUUGACACCAGGCCAGCCAGCGGAGGAUGGGCUCCCCCUCUACAACCGGGUUCCUCCCGAGAUUUCUUCCCAUUGGGGAGUUUUUUCUCGCCACAGUUUGAGUGUUUUUCAUCCCACUGGGGAUCUUACUUGCUUAUUGUCUUGGGGGUUCAGGCCUGGUGCCAACUGUCUGUAAAA